rnacentral:rRNA from 1 species
AGAGUUUGAUCAUGGCUCAGAGCGAACGCUGGCGGCAGGCUUAACACAUGCAAGUCGAGCGGGCGUAGCAAUACGUCAGCGGCAGACGGGUGAGUAACGCGUGGGAACGUACCUUUUGGUUCGGAACAACACAGGGAAACUUGUGCUAAUACCGGAUAAGCCCUUACGGGGAAAGAUUUAUCGCCGAAAGAUCGGCCCGCGUCUGAUUAGCUAGUUGGUGUGGUAACGGCGCACCAAGGCGACGAUCAGUAGCUGGUCUGAGAGGAUGAUCAGCCACAUUGGGACUGAGACACGGCCCAAACUCCUACGGGAGGCAGCAGUGGGGAAUAUUGGACAAUGGGCGCAAGCCUGAUCCAGCCAUGCCGCGUGAGUGAUGAAGGCCCUAGGGUUGUAAAGCUCUUUUGUGCGGGAAGAUAAUGACGGUACCGCAAGAAUAAGCCCCGGCUAACUUCGUGCCAGCAGCCGCGGUAAUACGAAGGGGGCUAGCGUUGCUCGGAAUCACUGGGCGUAAAGGGUGCGUAGGCGGGUCUUUAAGUCAGGGGUGAAAUCCUGGAGCUCAACUCCAGAACUGCCUUUGAUACUGAGGAUCUUGAGUUCGGGAGAGGUGAGUGGAACUGCGAGUGUAGAGGUGAAAUUCGUAGAUAUUCGCAAGAACACCAGUGGCGAAGGCGGCUCACUGGCCCGAUACUGACGCUGAGGCACGAAAGCGUGGGGAGCAAACAGGAUUAGAUACCCUCGUAGUCC